GUUUGGUUGAAGGCCUGGCAACAGGAUGACUGGGGUUGAGCACCUGACAAUAAGAAAAAGCCCCGGGAGAGGUCCCACACCCUGGUGGGGGGCCGAGUCAGUUGUUAUGUUUCAAGAAGGUAGCUUGGAAACUUGCCCCCAGGCUAAACUCUUGGGGGGCCGAGUCAGUUGUUAUGUUUCAAGAAGGUAGCUAGGAAACUUGCCCCCGGGCUAAACCCUUUGGGGGCCGAGUCAGCCGUUAUGUUUCAGGAAGGUAGCUAGGAAACAUUAGAAUCCACCAAUGAUAUCCCUGUAACCAUGCAUCUGCUUCUGUAUGCUUGCUUCUGCUCCCCAAAAUCCUAUAAAAAAGCCCAUCCUUGGUUCCGUGGGCGCGCCAGUCCCCCGAGUGACUGUAGCGCCCGCAGGUGCCUGUGCCUGUGUAUCCCGACAAUAAACCAAAUCCUCUUGCUGAUUGCAUCCUGUGGUGUCUCGGUCUGGUCUUUGGAGUUAGAGGGUCUCCAUCCCGAGGGAAAGUUCUCCCUGAGAGCUUUUCAUUUGGUGCAUUGGCCGGGAAAGGAGAUCCUCCACCCAGGGACCACCGACCACCCACUGGGAGGUAAGCCGGCCGGCGUCUGUCUGUCUGUCUGAUUUUGUC
ensembl:lncRNA